GAUAAACGCUGACAGAAUGCUUAACACAUGCAAGUCUAUGAGGAAGUUUAGCUUGCUAAAUGGACUCAUGGCGGACGGGUGAGUAACGCGUAAAGAACUUGCCCUUUAGACUGGGAUAACAGAGGGAAACUUCUGAUAAUACUGGAUAAGUUAGUAUAUCGCAUGAUAUACAAAAUGAAAGCUACGGCACUAAAAGGGAGAGCUUUGCGUCCUAUUAGCUAGUUGGUAAGGUAAGAGCUUACCAAGGCGAUGAUAGGUAGCCGGCCUGAGAGGGUGGACGGCCACAAGGGGACUGAGAUACGGCCCUUACUCCUACGGGGAGGCAGCAGUGGGGAAUAUUGGACAAUGGAGGCAACUCUGAUCCAGCAAUUCUGUGUGUGUGAAGAAGGUUUUAGGACUGUAAAACACUUUUAGUAGGGGAAGAAAGAAAUGACGGUACCUACAGAAGAAGCGACGGCUAAAUACGUGCCAGCAGCCGCGGUAAAU
rnacentral:rRNA from 1 species